AGCGAACGCUGGCGGCGUGCUUAACACAUGCAAGUCGAGUGCGCGUUUCGUAGCAAUACGGGAUGGCGCACGGCGCACGGGUGAGGAACACGUGGGCAACAUGCCCUCUGAUGGGGAAUAACCCCGCGAAAGCGGGGCUAAUACCGCAUAAGAUUCCGGGGACCUCGGUCCCUGGACUGAAAGCCCGCAAGGGCGUCGGAGGAGUGGCCCGCGGCCGAUUAGCUUGUUGGCGGGGAACGGCCCACCAAGGCAAUGAUCGGUAGCCGGUCUGAGAGGAUGAUCGGCCACACUGGAACUGAGACACGGUCCAGACUCCUACGGGAGGCAGCAGUGGGGAAUCUUGCGCAAUGGGCGAAAGCCUGACGCAGCGACGCCGCGUGGGGGAUGAAGCCUUUCGGGCGUAAACCCCUUUCGACCCGGACGAAAUGCCCGCAAGGGAAUUGACGGUACGGGUAUAAGAAGCCCCGGCUAACUACGUGCCAGCAGCCGCCGUAAC
rnacentral:rRNA from 1 species